rnacentral:lncRNA from 10 species
AAGACUGUGGUGCACAUCGUGCUUUGCCCCAGAAGGAACAUUGGUAAGACAUGUUAAAAGCAAUGGAACCUUAUUUCAUCUAGGGUACGACCUACUCAAGACAAAGUUUAGACCUUAUCCAUCUAUUCAUCUUAGAAUUCAGACUCAAGAUGAUUGUCACAAGGAAAUAUAUUAACAUGUUUAUUUAAAAUGAGAAAUGAAGUUGGAAUUUUUAUAAGAAGAAGUAAUUUUGAUUUGAUUGAUGAGUUUGACAAAGAUAAGUGGCUUUUCCAAUGAGGAUUUAUGGCGAAUAUUUCCCAUAAAUUAAAUAAACAAAAUCAGCAACUCCAAAGGUUUGAUAAUAAUUCAUUCAAAACAUUAAAAUAAAAGAGUCUUACCAAAGCUAUUUUAUUAGGAAAGUUAUGUUGAAAUUAACAAUACUUGGAUUUUUCUAACCUUUCCUGAGAAAAUCAGGUUAAACAAGGUACAAUUGUAAAUGACAAAGUAAAAGUAAAAUGACAAUUAAUGGUGAAUAAUUUUUGGUGAAUUAUUUUUAUAUUCUUUCCAGAAAUUAAGGAAGAGGUUGAGUCUACUUUCAGGGUGUCAUUUAUAAGUCAUAUUGUAUUCUACUCUUUGCUUACAUCGAAUAUGCAAGACAUAAUUGAAUCAUCAGCUAAUACAGCAUCAAAAAUAAUAACAACUUAAAAGUAAUUCAGAAAAAUGUGUGAUGUAUGUAUAAUAAAUUUCCUAAUUUAUGUAGAAAACAUUUCUCAAUGUAUUCAUCUAUUUUAAAAGAUGAAAAAUAGGAAUAGAUUUGAUUUUCAAUCCUGUCUUAUUAUAACAUUAAAAAAUAAUCUUUUAAAAAUUUUUUUAUUUCAAUAGCUUUUGGGGAACAGGUGGUUUUAGGUUACAUGGAUAAGUUCUUUAGUGGUGAUUUCUGAGAUUUUGGUGCACCCAUCACACAAGCAGUAUACACUGUACCCAAUAUACAGACCCCAUAUAUAGUCUUUUAUCUCUCAUUCCCCUCCUUCCCUUCCCCACAAAUCCCCAAAGUCCAUUAUAUUAUUUUUAUGCUUUUGCAUCCUCAUAGCUUAGUUCCCACUUAUAAGUGAAAACAUACAAUAUUUGGUUUUCAAUUCCUGAGUUACUUCACUUAAAAUAAUGACCCCCAACUCCAUCCAAGUUACUGCAAAAGCCACUAUUACCAUUCUGUUUUACGGCUGAGUAGUAUUCUAUGGUGUAUAUAUACCCCAUUUUCUUUAUCCACUCUUUGAUUGAUGGGCAUUCAGACUGGGUCCAUAUUUUUGCUAUUGUAAAUUGUGCUGCCAUAAACAUGCAUGUACAUUUGUCUUCUUCAUAUAAUGACUUCUUUUCCUUUGGGUAGAUACCCAGUAAUGGGAUUGCCAGUAGUUCUACUUUGGGGAAUGGUAGCUCUACUUUUAGUUCUUUGAGGGAUCUCCCUACUGUUUUGCACAGUGGAUGUACUAAUUUACAUUUCCACCAGCAGUGUAAAAGUGUUCCUUUUUUAUCACAUUCAUGCUAACAUUUAUUAUGUUUUUUAUUUUUUAAUUAUGGCC